AACGAACGCUGGCGGCAUGCCUAACACAUGCAAGUCGAACGAGACCUUCGGGUCUAGUUGCGCACGGGUGCGUAACGCGUGGGAACCUGCCCUUAGGUUCGGAAUAACUCCCCGAAAGGGGUGCUAAUACCGGAUAAUGUCUUCGGACCAAAGAUUUAUCGCCUUUGGAUGGGCCCGCGUUGGAUUAGCUAGUUGGUAGGGUAAAAGCAUACCAAGGCGGCGAUCCAUAGCUGGUCUGAGAGGAUGAUCAGCCACACUGGCACUGAGACACGGCCCAGACUCCUACGGGAGGCAGCAGUGGGGAAUAUUGGAACAUGGGGGAAAGGCUGAUCCAGCACUGACGCGUGAGUGAUGAAGGCCUUAGGGUUGUAAAGCUCUUUUACCCGGGAUGAUAAUGACAGUACCGGGAGAAUAAGCUCCGGCUAACUCCGUG
rnacentral:rRNA from 1 species